rnacentral:rRNA from 1 species
GACAGAGGGGGCAAGCGUUGCUCGGGAUUACUGGGCGUAAAGGGCGCGUAGGCGGGAUGGCAAGUCGGUCGUGAAAUCCCUCGGCUCAACUGAGGAUCGUCGAUCGAUACUGCCGUUCUUGAGGAUUGCAGAGGAGACUGGAAUUCCCGGUGUAGCGGUGAAAUGUGUAGAGAUCGGGAGGAACACCGGUGGCGAAGGCGGGUCUCUGGGCAAUUCCUGACGCUGAGGCGCGAAAGCGUGGGGAGCAAACGGG